UUCCAUUUCUUCUUCUUCUUCUUUUUCUUUCUUCAACGUACACUCCAUUUCCCCUUUCUCUUCUCAAACCCUAAUUCUCUCUUUAAUUAAUUCAUUAAUUCCCCUCUCCUUUCUCUCUCUCUCUCUCUCUCUCACUUCUUCCUUCCUCUUCCAUUAAUGGCCGAUUCUCCUCCUCCUCCUCCUCCUCCUCAUCCUCUUUUCUCCACUGCCGAUUCCUCCUCUACUUCCCCCUCCGACGCUCUUUUUCUUCUUCCCUCCCGAUUCCGAUUCCACCAUCCUCACCGAAUUCGGUUGGAAUUUCCACUCUCUUCAACCUCAACCUUCUCGAUUCCCUCACUCUCACCGGAUCCACUCCGAUUUCCCUCCAACCUCCACUACCACUACUACUACUACUACUACAACUACUACUCCACUCAUCGAAGACUCCGCUGGAUUAUCAGACGCUCCUCUUCCUCUCCCUUCUAAUCCUUCUCUCUCUUCCAGUUCCAGCGGUGAGCCCCUGGACAAACCGCCUGAGAUCAUUACUCCAGAGAGAUGGGAGUGAUCAUAGUGCAUCCGGUUGAACUUCCCCCAUUCUGUAAAUUUGUGGAGGUAGUUUUGUAAAUUGGAUUGAAGCAGGGGGCUAUUCAAUGUGAAUGCAUUAAAAUAUAGGGACUGUUUUGCAGUUUUUGGUAACUUGUCUUUCCAAUCGCCGUUAUUGCGGCGGGAAUGCCCAUUUUCCUUUCGUUAAAUAAUUAUUAGUUUUUAUUUUUUUUUUUUGUGGUGAAUCAAAAUUAACGAUAAGAAUAAUAAUGCUUCUUGAUUACAUUUAAAAUUUGAAUGGUUGGCGUUACUUGUUCGAUGUGCUUCAUCAAAUGGAAUGUUACGUAUUCUUUUUCUUUAAAAAAAAAAAACCAAUUUUGUUUUUUAAAUUUUUAUUACUGCAUGUACUUACCAUUGAUCAUGAUGUGAUUUUACUUGAGAAAAUAAAAAUUAAUAAAGAUUUUUAUUUUAUUUUU